AAAGCCCUGCAAAGAAAGAUGCUGAACUGUUUUUGCGAUGUGUUCCUAAUAUGCAGUAUGAACAUAUUGGGAGCAUUUUGCAUGCAUGGUUUUGUAUCAAUAUACAGAUGAAAGGCU
rnacentral:pre_miRNA from 12 species